rnacentral:sRNA from 1 species
CCCAACACACACACAAAUGGGCUAGCAAUAUUAAAGCACUAAGACAGGAGCAUCUUCAUUCAGGAACCCAAAUAUUCUCAAAGUUUCCUGAAAGGUGAAUGUAUGCAUUGUUUGGGAAUUUUGAAAUAUAUUUCGAGUUGAUUUUCUGGGUUCAUGGACUGUGAUAGCUUCCCAUCACUGUAACAACAUUCUGGAGACAGCUCAUUUACAGAGGAAAAGCCUCUUUUGGUUCACAGUUUGAGUAGCUCCAGUUGAUGACAGGAUGGACGCAUGCUUUGCAUCUUGUCACAGAACGGAGAAAAGUAGGACAGGAAGAGAUUUGUAGCGAGCAGCUCUCUAUGAGUGGCAUUGCAGGGAAGAGAAUUCCAAAGAAAUGCUUUGGUUGGUUUGGUGGACUACCUUUAAUUUUUUUGCCCUUUGGCAAAAGAACAGGAACACAUUUCUUUUGGAAUUGGAGAAACAUGUUUCUGAAUUUCUAGGUAGAACAUGACUUGCUAAAACCUCAACCUUAUUAACAGGAUGCCUUUCUAAUUUGUCCUCUCUUUAUCUUUUCUUUAGCAUCAAAAAUCGAGCAAAUCUCAGGAUGUUUGUGCAGGACCUGGGCUUGAAUACACAUUCUCCUUUGCCUUAGAAUGGCAAAGAUCAAGAGAUAAUCUCCUCAGUGGCACUAGUGCCUGACAUGUUGGAGGUGUACCACACAUCAACUGCACGACUUAUCCCGUUAUCUUUAUAGCUACAUGACAAGCUAAGUGCUAACAUGCCAAUUUUAUGGAUGAGAAAACUAGAGCUCAGAGAGAUGUAAGAAUUCUUGCAAGGUCAUGGAGUCAGUUAUGAGUCACUUUUCAAAUUCGGGUUUCCUGAUCACUAAGCUGUUACUUCAAACCCUGCCAAGGGUCCAGAGUAGAAAGCCUCCCAGCACACAGGCAGCUUUCCCACGUGACUCAGAACUACUUGAAAACAAUAGCAACAGUGCAUUUCCCCACGCUGAAGGCUUACUAUGCGAACAGAGAGUACAGGCUUGGAGAAGGUCGUACAGAGCAGGUUGAUGUAUGUGCACCGUGCUGACACUGAGUAGCGUUAUAACUAGCCUUUCUAGUAAACUAGUGUUUUCAAUCCCUUAUGACCUAGUCAUCAAAUACAUCCUAGAAAAAGAAAACAAAGACCAGGAAUUAAGGCAUUUUUAUUUUCUAUAAAAUUAAUAUACAAUAGUCAGUUUAGAUGUAUGAGAAAGGGAACAAUAUGAUAUGAUAGAAAAGAAAAAUCCCCCAUUAAUGAUUGAUAAAUUUCAUGGUUUUAGAAAGCUAAUAUUAUAUUUGCAACUUUAUUCAACUAUUUUUAUUCUGCUAUAAAUUAGACAUCCUUCCAUUUCUUUGACUGUUUUUUUUGUUUGUUUGUUUGUUUGUUUGGGUUGGGUUGGGUUUUUAUGGUAGACACUCUUAAUGCCUUUCUUUCAUCAUGCAAAUGCAGCAUAAUUUAAUUAGCCCAUCUCCUAUUUUUAGCAUGUGGGUUGUUUCCACUUUCCUCUCUCACUUUUAUAAAUAACUCAGUGGAGAGCUUUGUGUGAUCGUAUUUUGUUUUCACGUAAUUUUAAACAUAGAGAAAAUGUUGCAGGAUCAGUAUGAGAGACUUCCAUUAGCUUUCACCUCAAUUGUUUACAUUUUAUUCUUUUAUGCCCAUGCCCCAACACCAACACAGACACUUCUAAACUAUUUGAGAACAAACUGUCCCUUUCUGUCCUAAUACAUCAAAGUCUUCCCUUUAUAUUUCCCUAAAAUUAAUAAUUUUCUACAUGGCAACAUCUUAUUUUAAAUUUUAGAAAUUCGAUAUUGACAUGAUACCAUUAUCUAUUCCACAAAUUAUCUUUAAAUGUAAUAUUUUCUAGAUUAGUAUCUGAUCCAGUAGAAAAAUAUUUCUAUAAAUUUUUUAAAAAUAUAUAAUGACCUCAGGCUAGAUUUCAAAAACGAAGACUGUUGGGUGAUUGGACAAUGUCUUAUUUGAUUUGUGUUACUACAGAAAAACCAAGACUAAACAAUAUAUAACAAAUAGGCAGGUACAUACUUCUGGAAUCUGGGAAAUUCAAACGCAAGGAGCUGCUUCUGAACACUGGGCAAGGAUUUCUUGUUGCACCAUUCCACAGCAGAGGGUCAGGAAGGAAGACAUGGGGCCACGGUGGGACGAACAAUUCCCUUUUACACCGGUGCCUAUCCUGACUCUGAGGGUGGAUCCCUUAUGACCUAGUCAAGCACUGAGAUUUCUCCUCCUCAAGAGUGUUUCAGUGACAGUUAAACUCCAGCAUGAGUUUGGAGGUGAUGAAGGUUGAAACCAUAGCCGAGAAGCAUUUUGAUGGCAACAGAAAAAAUUGUAGCCAUUUGACUAAUGGUAGUGUUGGCCCUGUAUGUGGUAGAGUGGAUCAAUAGCCAUCUGUUGUGUAGUGGGAGCUUCAUAUUGUUUAAAUAUGAGAAAGGAUGGCAAUACUUCACAGGGACAAUGGUUUUAAGGGAUAAAGUGAUAGACAGUUGCUACAUAUACAGUCAUAUGUGCUUAAGGAUAUGGAAAAGCUUCUGGUCCUAUUUUCACAAUAAAUUUAUUUAGGGUACAUGUUUAUUGUUGAACAAGAAUGUGUGUGAGUGUGCUAGUCAUGUUUCUUCUGCUAUGACAUAAACAUCAUGACCCAAAGCAAGUUGGGGAGGAAAGGGUUAACUUCGCAUACAGUUGAUGUUUGUCAUGAACAGAAGUCAGGGCAAGGACUCAAGGCAGCAACCUGAAGUCAGGAACUGAAGUAACGUCAUGGGCAAGCACUGUUUACUUGCGGGCUUGCUAGCCUGCUUUCUAAUACACCUCAGGACCACCUGCCCAGGGUAGCACUGCUUAGUGUGGGUAGGGCCCUUCCAUAUUAAUCAUUAAUCAAGAAAAUUUCCUACAGGCUUGCCUACAGACCAAUGUGAAGGAUGUACUAGUUCAUGAGGUUCCUACUUCCCAGAUGACUCUAACUCAUGUCAAGUUAGCAGAAAGCUAGCUAGCUCAGUGGGGGAUAUAUUGAAGUUGUUCUGAGUAUAUGUGUGACCACCAUGGCCGAGCAAGUGAACGCCAAGUGAGAGGAUGAUACUUGAAGAACAGUAAGCAGAAAAAGACUGGCUAGUGACAGAUAAUUUGUAGGAAAUGUAAAGAUUUUGAAAUAAUAACUAAAAAUACCUUGUACAAAUAGUAUAAAAAAUGAAUGUGCAGGCUUCUUGGAAAUCAUUGGCUCAUAACCUUCAAAGCUAACAAAAAUAGCACUGUGGCCUUAAAUAUCCAGCACUACUCUGGAAUUAUAAACACAACAAAAAAUGCAAUAAACAUAGUCUGUUCUCAAUAGUUCUAGAGUCAAGUGGGGAAAGGAAUGAAUAUAACAUUUUUGAAUAUCAUCCUUCACUCAUGGCAUUGAGGCUAUAUGAAGAAGAAUGUGGGUAAGACUUCAUAGGAGAUAAACCUUUCUAGUCUGGAUUUAGAGGAGGACAGUAGGACUGUCUUCUUGGUAGAGAAAAUUAACUUUAAGUUAUGCAGAGUGUUAAAGAAAUAAAUUCAGAAUGCAAAAAUGUGUAAAUCACAUUUCUUUGUGACAAAAGUGAUCAAAUGUCUAUUGUUUGUCAUGGUUGCAGACCCAAAAGGUGGCAUUCCUAGGUCAAGGUGCUCUCUGAGUGCUUUAUUUCAUAUAAAAGAGAUAUCAAGUUAGGUCUGCACAAGAAAUGUCUUUCUUUUGGAGACACCGAGGAAAGAAGUCUGCCAGAUCCAAGAGCCAAAGUAGAUCAGCCAUCACCAUGGGAAGGUCAGAAUGCUUUUUUUUUGCCGACAUAUGCUGCCACCUUAGCCUUCUGAGCAAGUCCUUCCAGCUUUGAAAGUCUAAAUAUUAUUUAUUGUGGAUGUAAAAGGAGACCCAAGUGGCAAGUGUUUCUCAACAACAUGGAGAUGUCAACCUGGGAUUGUUAGGAGAGCAGAGAGACCGUGGAAGCAUGGUACCCCAGGGAGUCCAUUAUAACAUGAAGCUUAAAGUUGACCCAGCAUCAUAUUCUACUCCAACAUCUUCCAGCCAUCCCAUUCUGAGAGAAAAUUCCUCCGCUGGAAAAGGAACCUGCUUUGUCUGCUGUGAACAGGCCAUAAAGGCAGCACUUCAUCUCAAAAGAAUGUAGAAGAAAUGUGUACACUCAGUGUUUGCACAGCCUAGAGUUUUGCAAGGACAUAGCAUACAGGAGCAGCUGCCCUCUUCUGUUCUUGAGGUGGCUGGCCACAUGCCCAGAACUGCCUUGGGAGCCACAGUGCUGGACCACAAAUGAUUUCUACUACAUGGUCAGUGCAUGGGGAACAAUACAGGAGUGUGAGAAGAAAGGACGGAUUACCAUAGCCCCAGAAACCCAGAUCUGCGGAGUGAGAUACAAAAUGAAGACAGAAAAUAGUACCCUGAAGUCACCUAGGAAAAAUGUUUCCAGAAAUUUUUGAAAAAUCAUGGAACACAUGGUCUAAUAACAGGACAGGAUAUUGGCAAUCAGAGCUGCUCUGGAAAUCAGGACCACCACCCCCCUUGGAAAUCUGAAACACAUGGCCCCAGUAACACAGCGUUUCUCAUUGGCCUGGAACUCAGCAAGUAGUCUAGGCUGGCUGCUGAGGAAGCCCCAUGGAUCAUCCUAUCUCCUCCUCUCCAGUACUAGAAUUUCACUGGAGGAAAACCAGAAGAAAAAAAAAGUGCUCAAAUGAGAUGUACCAAGGAACACCUGACACACACUUCAAACAGUAAAUCAUUGCCCGAGAAGUGGCUGAAGAUAUCUUAUUUCUAGCAACAGAUUAUAUUUCAGAUCCAUCUAGGCUGAUUGUGGUUCUGGUUUGCACAAAGGCACCAAAAGAGGCGAUGCUGUCUCUGUCCUUUAUCCAACGGUUUAGAUGGAGACCUACUUUCAAGGAGAAAGCAUAGGAGGGACAAGAAGAACUGGAUCAAGGAGAGGUAUGCAUCAGAGAGACAUCAAUACAUUUUCUUGGUCAGGUACAUGUGAGAUAUGGGGCAGAGGAGAGGCAGGUAUCAGGAGGUGGGGAGGGGCAGAUGGUAUUGAAUUGAGGAAUAGUGAUUUCUGGAGCUGGAAGAAAACCAGCCUGACACAGAGUCUCCUUCGUAGUGGAGGCUGUCAGGAUACAGCUGCCAUAUAGGAACAGAGCAUAUCAGAGUACAGAAUCUCCCAGGAGCAGAGACCCAGCUAAAGACACAGUGGACAUGCUUCCCCAGGGGCCUGUUCAGGUCCUGAAUGAAGACUGAGAGGGAGACAGUACUGUUUAGAUGUUCAUCCCCUCCUCUUAGCCUGAAUUCUUCACAUCCUGUAGGGUAACUUUAAUUGUUUUAAUCCUAAUUUUAGUGAUGAUUCUCAAAUGCUUUCACCUUCCUUUUAAGCCAUGACCCACCAGAGGUAGUGGAAAUGAAAGAAUAUGGGAGAAGUGGACCUUUUAGAAAGGUUCCUUGGAGCAACUCCCAUCUGUGCUG